GGGGUCGACUCAUGCCUGGGGGUCGACUCAUGAGGGUCGACUCACAGGGUGUGCCAAUCAGCUCAUUGUGCCAUGAGUUGACUCACGGGUUGACUCAUGAUUUUCAAACAUGCAUAACUUUCAAAAUACAAGUCCAAAAUCAAUAAAAUUUUCACCAUUGGAUCACAAAUCUUUUGUUCUACCAAAUGAUACUAUCAAA
rnacentral:lncRNA from 1 species